UACGAAGGGUGCAACCGUUGCUCGGAAUUAUUGGGCGUAAAGCGCACGUAGGCGGCCCAGCAAGUCGGAAGUGAAAUCCCACGGCUCAACCAUGGAAGUGCUUUCGAAACUGCUGGGCUUGAGUACAAAAGAGGAUCGCGGAAUUCCCGGUGUAGAGGUGAAAUUCGUAGAUAUCGGGAGGAACACCAGUGGCGAAGGCGGCGAUCUGGGUUGAUACUGACGCUGAGGUGCGAAAGCGUGGGGAGCAAACAGG
rnacentral:rRNA from 1 species